GAUGAACGCUGGCGGCGUGCCUAAUACAUGCAAGUCGAGCGAUCAGACGAGGACUUUGCUCCUCUGACGUUUUCCGCGGACGGGUGAGUAACAUGUGUAUCACCUACCUAUAAGACUGGGAUAACUUCGGGACACCGGAUCUAAUACCGGAUAAUAUAUUGAACCGCAUGGUUCAAUUGUGAAAGACGGUUUUGCUGUUACUUAUUGAUGGUUCCUCGCCGUAUUAGCUAGUUGGUAAGGUAACGGCCUACCAAGGCAACGAUUCGUAGCCGACCUGAGAGGGUGAUGGGCAAAACGGGAACGGAGAAACGGUCCAGACUCCUAAGGGAGGCAGAAGUAGGGAAUCUUCGGCAAUGGGCGAAAGCAUGACGGAGAAACGCCGCGUGAGUGAUGAAGGUCUUCGGAUCGUAAAACUCUGUUAUUAGGGAAGAACAAAUGUGUAAGUAACUAUGCACGUCGUGACGGUACCUAAUCAGAAAGCCACGGCUAACUACGUG
rnacentral:rRNA from 1 species